AAAAUUGAAAUAAUAUAGUUUACUAGGAGUAUUCAAAUUUUUGAGCCUCAAAAUUUUGGGGCUAAAGCAAAGGCUUUAUUAGCCUCAUCCUUGAGCCACCUGUAAGCAGCGCAGCUGGUAGUUGGAGUCGGAGUCUGUUAUGAUCUCAAUUAUCAAAAGCCAAAAAGGAGUAAUCACAAUAUUUUUGGGACAAUUUUUUGAUAUUAUAUUGACUGAUAUUGAAUGAUGUUUACCACUAAUGAAAACUAAAGGAUAACGGAAAAUAUGGAAAACUAUCUACUUGAUUCCUUUGAUGAGUUUGUAACCUAUAAUAGAUGAGCUUGUAACCUAUAGAAUGAAAGACUCCAUAGAUGAUCUUGUAACCUGUAGAAUGGAAGAGAAGCGAAGAGAAGAGAAUUAGGAGAGAAGAGAGAUGAUAGGACUCAGAAGAAGAGGGAAUUGGAUUGUACCAGUUAUGCCAUAAUCCUCUGCCCAAUGAGUUUGUUAGGCUUUAUAACAUAACUCGUCCAGCUGGCUGGAUCUGAGCCCUCGAAGCUCAUUAACUGAAUUCUAAUUGCGGCUGUUGAUUUUAGAGUCAUUACAGAGUCUGAGUGGACAUGAAGACACAAGGUUGGAAUCGUAGUCGUAGUCGGAGCAUGGGGUAGGCGAACAACAGGCUGAGAGCAGCGGAGGAGCUAGCGGUCCGGGUCGGAGUCGGAGUGGACGGGACGGGGUCGGGGUCAGAGUGGACGCUAGUUUGUGUACAGAGAGACACCGAUGCCACAACAAAUUGUUUGUUAGCUAUGUUUCUCUUUGGAGUAAGGCCAAUACUUUUUUCAGUUGCCUCGCGCACAGAUAAUGAGAGAAAGAAAGAACUCCUGGAAUAUUAGAAUAAAGAGACAUCAGCAUGCAGGCUUGCCAAUUUACAACUCCAGACAUUACCAGCACUUCUUGAUAUUCCCAAUGGAGACAUACUUGAUCACCGGCAACUUCUUGGAGACAUACUUGAUUUUACUUAGAACUUGCUUGUCUUGAUUAGCGAAUUUCAUUUGGCUGCGUCUUGCAAGUGUUUGCAUGUGAACUACUUGGAACUUGCUCGUUUUGAUUAGUGAAUUUCGUUUGGCUGUGUUUUGUAAGUGUUAGCAAAGACUUAAAAAUAUGCGUAUUUCAGGUUUUGACCAACACUCGAUGUAACCAUUUAUAGUUUCAACACUCGAUGAAGCUCCAACUAGUUAUAUUAAAUAAAGCAAGUAUAAUUUAACCGAA